rnacentral:lncRNA from 1 species
GAUCUGUCUUACAUCAUUGUACGUCCGUGUACAUUUACGCCAAACAUUUUUCAUUUUAAAAUGAAAAAUAAAUUUUCAAAUUGCUCUGCAAAUCUUAAAGGUAGUUGGUUUGAAAAAUGUAACAAAAACCUAUAGAAAUCACUUUCGAAAAACCAUUUUCUCUAUGAGAUUUGAAAUUUGUUAUUUUCAUGAAAUUAUAUUUUUGAUUUAACGAAGAUAUUGAAACAA